rnacentral:rRNA from 1 species
GACGAACGCUGGCGGCGUGCUUAACACAUGCAAGUCGAACGGAAAGGCCCUGCUUUUGUGGGGUGCUCGAGUGGCGAACGGGUGAGUAACACGUGAGUAACCUGCCCUUGACUUUGGGAUAACUUCAGGAAACUGGGGCUAAUACCGGAUAGGAGCUCCUGCUGCAUGGUGGGGGUUGGAAAGUUUCGGCGGUUGGGGAUGGACUCGCGGCUUAUCAGCUUGUUGGUGGGGUAGUGGCUUACCAAGGCUUUGACGGGUAGCCGGCCUGAGAGGGUGACCGGCCACAUUGGGACUGAGAUACGGCCCAGACUCCUACGGGAGGCAGCAGUGGGGAAUAUUGCACAAUGGGCGGAAGCCUGAUGCAGCAACGCCGCGUGCGGGAUGACGGCCUUCGGGUUGUAAACCGCUUCCGCCUGUGACGAAGCGUGAGUGACGGUAAUGGGUAAAGAAGCACCGGCUAACUACGUGCCAGCAGCCGCGGUGAUACGUAGGGUGCGAGCGUUGUCCGGAUUUAUUGGGCGUAAAGGGCUCGUAGGUGGUUGAUCGCGUCGGAAGUGUAAUCUUGGGGCUUAACCCUGAGCGUGCUUUCGAUACGGGUUGACUUGAGGAAGGUAGGGGAGAAUGGAAUUCCUGGUGGAGCGGUGGAAUGCGCAGAUAUCAGGAGGAACACCAGUGGCGAAGGCGGUUCUCUGGGCCUUUCCUGACGCUGAGGAGCGAAAGCGUGGGGAGCGAACAGGCUUAGAUACCCUGGUAGUCCACGCUGUAAACGGUGGGUACUAGGUGUGGGGUCCAUUCCACGGGUUCCGUGCCGUAGCUAACGCUUUAAGUACCCCGCCUGGGGAGUACGGCCGCAAGGCUAAAACUCAAAGGAAUUGACGGGGCCCCGCACAAGCGGCGGAGCAUGCGGAUUAAUUCGAUGCAACGCGUAGAACCUUACCUGGGUUUGACAUGUAUCGGGAGUGCUCAGAGAUGGGUGUGCCUCUUUUGGGGUCGGUUCACAGGUGGUGCAUGGCUGUCGUCAGCUCGUGUCGUGAGAUGUUGGGUUAAGUCCCGCAACGAGCGCAACCCUUGUUCACUGUUGCCAGCACGUUAUGGUGGGGACUCAGUGGAGACCGCCGGGGUCAACUCGGAGGAAGGUGGGGAUGACGUCAAGUCAUCAUGCCCCUUAUGUCCAGGGCUUCACGCAUGCUACAAUGGCUGGUACAGAGAGUGGCGAGCCUGUGAGGGUGAGCGAAUCUCGGAAAGCCGGUCUCAGUUCGGAUUGGGGUCUGCAACUCGACCUCAUGAAGUCGGAGUCGCUAGUAAUCGCAGAUCAGCAACGCUGCGGUGAAUACGUUCCCGGG